rnacentral:rRNA from 1 species
CUCCGUAGGGGGAACCUGCGGAGGGAUCAUUACACAAAUAUGAAGGCGGGCUGGAACCUCUCGGGGUUACAGCCUUGCUGAAUUAUUCACCCUUGUCUUUUGCGUACUUCUUGUUUCCUUGGUGGGUUCGCCCACCACUAGGACAAACAUAAACCUUUUGUAAUUGCAAUCAGCGUCAGUAACAAAUUAAUAAUUACAACUUUCAACAACGGAUCUCUUGGUUCUGGCAUCGAUGAAGAACGCAGCGAAAUGCGAUAAGUAGUGUGAAUUGCAGAAUUCAGUGAAUCAUCGAAUCUUUGAACGCACAUUGCGCCCUUUGGUAUUCCAAAGGGCAUGCCUGUUCGAGCGUCAUUUGUACCCUCAAGCUUUGCUUGGUGUUGGGCGUCUUGUCUCUAGCUUUGCUGGAGACUCGCCUUAAAGUAAUUGGCAGCCGGCCUACUGGUUUCGGAGCGCAGCACAAGUCGCACUCUCUAUCAGCAAAGGUCUAGCAUCCAUUAAGCCNUUUUUUCAACUUUUGACCUCGGAUCAGGUAGGGAUACCCGCUGAACUUAAGCAUAUCAUAAGCCGGAGGAACC